rnacentral:misc_RNA from 1 species
CCUUGGAGAAGUUGGCAUGCUAAUGGAAAUAGAAUGAGUCCUUUGAUCGUUGAUGGGUUGAAAUUUGUCAGAGCGGUUCUCAGAAGCAAUAGUUCCAUUUCCCAUAGCCGAUGAAGCGAUAGGAUGAGAACCACUGGGUUGGUUCUGAUUACUAUUCGAGCUACAGUUGCUAUCAAAGCCGGUCACUUCUUUGGAUAAGAUGUAUUUUAUGAGUGUUGGAAUGGAUUCUUCGUGCUUUGCUAAAUCUUGGGUUUCCAUUCUAAAACAGCUAAACCUCCUACUUUGCUAAAUCUUUUACAGCUGAUGAAGGCAAGAUUUUUAAUCACAGUUAUCAGAUUUCUCAGAAAACCAGUGUUCGGG